UUAAAAUAAAUGAUAUAUGCUUUAUUGAUUAAAUAUUAUUCGUAGCAACAAUGUCUGAAUCAACAUCCUCUUCUUUUAAUCCACCACCUAAUGUAUAUGACGAGGAAUUAAAUAAAGAGACAACAUUGAAUUUGUCAUUAUCUAAUUUGGAUUGUAUACCUACAAUAAAAAAUAAUGUACUAAAUGUGUUAUAUCUCCAAAAUAACAAAAUAACCAUAAUACCCGAUGACUUCUUUCCAUCUCUACCCAAUCUUAUGUAUUUAGAUUUCCGGGACAAUCAAUUGACAGACAUUCCCAAAACUAUACAAAACCAUCAAUAUCUCACCCACUUGCUGUUACAAAACAAUAAACUGGCGGUAUUGCCUCAUGAACUGGGUACCGUAAACCUGAAAGUACUACAAUUGAAAGGUAACCCAAUAAUGUACCCACCGAGGGAUAUAUUAAAUGCUGGAAUUUCCAAGAUUCUUAAAUUUUUAUACGACAAACACGUAGACAAUAUGUUUGCGCAAUCAUAUAUAGGAUCCGAGGAUACAUUAAGCAGCGUGAAUUUAACAGAAAAUAGUCAAGGAGUUCUAAGCUACAACUCUGUUAUACAUGGAGACAAAUUAAAAGAGAAAACACUAUUAAUAAAAUUAAACGAGAAAGACUGCGAUGACUCGGAUGACGACUGCUACGGUAAAAUAAAGGGGAAGUGUCCGAAAUUGGCGAAAAGUCGAUUUAAGACUUUACCGUCGUAUUGUCAAAGUUCAAAAUACGUUAGUCCACCGCGUGUUAGCAGUAAGGUUGAGCAGGAUCAGAGAAUGAAGCGGAAUUACUUGAAAGAUCUGGCUUUAAAGAAGUAUAAGGAUUUACUUGAACGCAGAGAGAAGAUACUGCAGGAUAGAAGAAACGUUGAACUUCUACGCAACUGGCGUAAAGAAUACAGAAUCCGUCAGCAAUCUGUUGAUGGGACAUACAAACUGGAAGCAAAGAACUACCCCUACGACACCAACCCUGACUACAUGGUUCUCCUUAAUAGGGAGGACAUAGAGAAGGAUCUCCCAAAUAAAUAUAGACAGAAAUUGAUAAGGAAAUCCAAACCAACUGUACCGAGGAAGAGUAAUAAUGACGUGCACUUGGCUAUGAAGAUAAAACAGCUGUUUGCUAAUUUGGAAGCCAUCGAUUUGAACAGAGAGGAAAUGACUCCAAGAACUGAACAGAAAGCGUUGCUGACCGAAAUACAAAAGAUAUCAGAGAUAAAACAGAAACUAAUGGAGCUUUCCACAUCGAAUGUUAAGUCUGUAACAGUUGAUUAAGAAAGAGCAGCACUACUUAUGAGGCGCAGGCGAGAAGCAGCAGAGUAAUCUCCCAUAUUAUACUUUAUUCUGUUACAUACGAGAACAUUCAAGAAUAUGCUAGAUUUGAGCAAGUAAGAAUCUAUCGACAAGUGAUUGCAUACAUGCUAACGUUGCGUGUAACAAAAUAUAAUGACGCAAUAUUGGUUCAGAAAUACCGCAUUUAGGUAAAAAUAUUGUAUCUACUUUGUACCACUGACCUUUGAAUAGUUGGAGAGAGGAGGGAUAUUCAAAAAGAGAACCUCUAAAUCCUAUGUAAUCUAAAAUGAUACACAACAGUCCAGGUGAGAGCGUUAAAUGCGGAUAUUAGAGUCCAAAUUACAUUACUAUUUGUCUAAAUUCGAAAAUAUGAGUUCGUUUUCCUUCUAGUUUCCUUUAAUGUAUUAUUCCUAUUCUUUGUCCAUAAUUUGGACAUAUAUUUAGGUACUGUGAUGAGUGAUAAAAUUGCUGAUGUAAGUGUGAUGACAUAUUCGUGAUAUUGUGAAGUGCUAUCACAUUAUCAGCAUUCCCUGAUACAGGGUACCGUAUUGGUUAUAUGUAUUACAAUAAUUAAGGAAUUUCGUGUAUCCAAUUCUAUAAUUAAAUAGUUUAAAAAUAUAUUCCACACACCAAAAUUACUUCACUGCAUUAAAUAAGUCUUCAUUUAAGUACUAAGAAAGUUCAUAGAUUCCAUAUAGAAUCUACAAAACUAUAUUGUGACC